AGUUAAUGAACUUGAUAAAAGUUUAUAUUUUGAAAAUAUAAGAAAGAGAUUCAUAAGCCUCUAUUAACUU
rnacentral:tRNA from 1 species